GACGAACGCUGGCGGCGUGCUUAACACAUGCAAGUCGAACGGAAAGGCCCUGCUUUUGUGGGUGCUCGAGUGGCGAACGGGUGAGUAACACGUGAGUAACCUGCCCUUGACUUUGGGAUAACUUCAGGAAACUGGGGCUAAUAACGGAUAGGAGCUCCUGCUGCAUGGUGGGGGUUGGAAAGUUUCGGCGGUUGGGGAUGGACUCGCGGCUUAUCAGCUUGUUGGUGGGGUAGUGGCUUACCAAGGCUUUGACGGGUAGCCGGCCUGAGAGGGUGACCGGCCACAUUGGGACUGAGAUACGGCCCAGACUCCUACGGGAGGCAGCAGUGGGGAAUAUUGCACAAUGGGCGGAAGCCUGAUGCAGCAACGCCGCGUGCGGGAUGACGGCCUUCGGGUUGUAAACCGCUUUCGCCUGUGACGAAGCGUGAGUGACGGUAAUGGGUAAAGAAGCACCGGCUAACUACGUG
rnacentral:rRNA from 1 species